rnacentral:rRNA from 1 species
GACGAACGCUGGCGGCGUGCCUAAUACAUGCAAGUCGAGCGAUGAAGAUCGGUGCUUGCACCGUUUUGAAGAGCAGCGCACGGGUGUGUAACGCGUGGGGAAUCUGCCUUUGAUCGGGGGACCACAUUUGGAAACGAAUGCUAAUACCGCAUAACAACUUUAAACAUAAGUUUUAAGUUUGAAAGAUGCAAUUGCAUCACUCAAAGAUGAUCCCGCGUUGUAUUAGGUAGUUGGUGAGGUAAAGGCUCAUCAAGGCGGUGAUACAUAGCCGACCUGAGAGGGUGAUCGGCCACAUUGGGACGGAGACACGGCCCAAACGCCUACAGGAGGCAGCAGUAGGGAAUCGUCGGCAAUGGACGAAAGACUGACCAAGCAACGCCGCGUGAGUGAAGAAGGAUGUCGGGUCGUAAAACUCUGUUGGUAGAGAAGAACGUUGGUGAGAGUGGAAAGCUCAUCAAGUGACGGUAACUACCCAGAAAGGAACGGCUAACUACGUG